CAGGAUGAACGCUGGCGGCGUGCUUAACACAUGCAAGUCGAACGGAGUUAGAGAGCUUGCUCUUAAACUUAGUGGCGGACGGGUGAGUAACGCGUGGGUAACCUGCCUUCACUGGGGGAUAACAGUUAGAAAUGACUGCUAAUACCGCAUAAGCGCACGGGAUCGCAUGACCUAGUGUGAAAAAACUCCGGUGGUGAAAGAUGGACCCGCGUCUGAUUAGCUAGUUGGUGAGGUAACGGCCCACCAAGGCGACGAUCAGUAGCCGGCCUGAGAGGGUGAACGGCCACAUUGGGACUGAGACACGGCCCAAACUCCUACGGGAGGCAGCAGUGGGGAAUAUUGGUCAAUGGGCGAGAGCCUGAACCAGCCAUGCCGCGUGCAAGGAAGACGGCCUUAUGGGUUGUAAACUGCUUUUAUUGGGGACGAGCAUGAGUACGCGUACUCAAAUGACGGUACCCGAUGAAUAAGCACCGGCUAACUCCGUGCCAGCCGCUGC
rnacentral:rRNA from 1 species